rnacentral:misc_RNA from 1 species
GAAAUCCGAUAAGUAAUGCGAAUUGCAGAUUUCAGCGAGUCAUCGAAUCUUUGAACGCACAUUGCACCCGGUGGUAUUCCGCCGGGUAUGCCUGUUCGAGCGUCAUUUCUACCCUCGAGCCCCCGUGGGGGCUCGGUGUUGGGGUCCUGCGGGCGGCCCGCCCAGCGCGUGGCGGUCCCGCAGCCCUUAAAUUCAGUGGCGUGCCUGCCGCGGCACACCCCCUGCGUAGUACGAUCUAAACAAUCCCUCGCAUCGGGUCCCGGCCGGGCGCUGCCUCCCUCGCUCCAGGGACCUCACGGGUCCCGACGGCGAACCCCCCACAGUUAAGUUGACCUCGAAUCAGGUAGGGUUACCCGCUGAACUUAA